rnacentral:rRNA from 1 species
ACUCCUACGGGAGGCAGCAGUGGGGAAUAUUGGACAAUGGGCGCAAGCCUGAUCCAGCCAUGCCGCGUGAGUGAAGAAGGCCUUCGGGUUGUAAAGCUCUUUUGUUGGGGAAGAAAAGCGUCGGGUUAAUACCCUGGCGUUCUGACGGUACCCAAAGAAUAAGCACCGGCUCACUUCGUGCCAGCAGCCGCGGUAAUACGAAGGGUGCAAGCGUUACUCGGAAUUACUGGGCGUAAAGCGUGCGUAGGUGGUUCGUUAAGUCUGAUGUGAAAGCCCUGGGCUCAACCUGGGAACUGCAUUGGAUACUGGCGAUCUGGAGUGCGGUAGAGGGUGGCGGAAUUCCCGGUGUAGCAGUGAAAUGCGUAGAUAUCGGGAGGAACAUCCGUGGCGAAGGCGGCCACCUGGACCAGCACUGACACUGAGGCACGAAAGCGUGGGGAGCAAACAGGAUUAGAUACCCUGGUAGUCCACGCCCUAAACGAUGCGAACUGGAUGUUGGGUGCAACUUGGCACUCAGUAUCGAAGCUAACGCGUUAAGUUCGCCGCCUGGGAAGUACGGUCGCAAGACUGAAACUGAAAGGAAUUGACGG